GCAGUAGCGGCUCAGUGGUAGAAUUCCUGCCUCCCAUGCUGGAGACUUAGGUUCGAUUCCUGACCAGUGCA
rnacentral:tRNA from 1 species